GAUGAAGAUCGUAGCGAAAUGCGAUAAGUAGUGUGAAUUGCAGAAUUCAGUGAAUCAUCGAAUCUUUGAACGCACAUUGCGCCCCUCGGUAUUCCGUGGGGCAUGCCUGUUCGAGUGUCAUUUAACCCCUCAAGCCUAGCUUGGUAUUGGGUGCUUGUCCCGCCUCUCGCGCGGCGACUCACCUCAAAGUCAUUGGCAGCCCGCAUCUCGCCGGCCGUGAGCGCAGCACAGACGCGCUCUUGGCAACGACGGAUCGGCUCUCCAAAAGCUUAUUUCAACCACUGACCUCGGAUCAGGUAGGGAUACCCGCUGAACUUAAGCAUAUCAAUAAGCGGAGGA
rnacentral:misc_RNA from 1 species